AGUGAACGCUGGCGGUAGGCCUAACACAUGCAAGUCGAACGGCAGCACAGUAAGAGCUUGCUCUUACGGGUGGCGAGUGGCGGACGGGUGAGGAAUACAUCGGAAUCUACUUUUUCGUGGGGGAUAACGUAGGGGAACUUACGCUAAUACCGCAUACGACCUACGGGUGAAAGCAGGGGAUCUUCGGACCUUGCGCGAUUGAAUGAGCCGAUGUCGGAUUAGCUAGUUGGCGGGGUAAAGGCCCACCAAGGCGACGAUCCGUAGCUGGUCUGAGAGGAGGAAUAGGCACACUGGAACGUGGAAACGGGUCAGACUCCCACGGGAGGGCGCAGGUGGGAAUAUUGGAAAAAGGGGGGAAGCCUUAACCAACCAUACCGCGGGGGGUGAGAAGGGCCUCCGGUUUGAAAAGCCUUUUGGUUGGAAAGAAAAGGCGGCGGUUUAUACCCCGCCUUUCUGACGGUACCCAAAGAAAAAGCCCCGGGUAACUUCGUG
rnacentral:rRNA from 1 species